UUGUAUUCACAGUGUAUAAACUUUAAUUUUGACUAACCUCAAGUUUUAUUGUUCUGAUGCCUCGAGGUCACCAUCAUGCAACCAAAUCAGCUCGUGCCAACGCAACAAGAAAUAAAACGCUCGCAUGAAAACUUACACUUUACGCACAAUCCCCGUGCGUAAAGAGCCAUGCGUAAAAGUCAUUUGAAAUGUAAUUUCUCCAUUUUGAUGAUUUAUUAGAGAACUAGAUGUCUGAUUUUUGCAUUAUCAAAACAAUAAACUAAAGACAGAAAGUGACAAAUCUUGACAUAAACAACAAAUGAGAACAAAUUUAAAGCAUUUAUAAUCGUGAUAUUUUAAACUUUCCUUUGAAAUUUCAUGCGACUCUAAAUUGUGAGUCCAUGCUGAUGUUUUAGCACAUUAGUUUCCUUUAUACCCCAUUAUAAUCAAAUAAGAUAAUAAACGGAUUCCUGGUGAUAUCUGAAGGCUGAUAUGUUACAGGACUGGAGGGAAUUUGAGUUUGAGUUGGCACGCCUGCCCAUCUGUCUUUCUGGUGCAUGAGUGAACCAGAACCUGCAACAACUUCUGGUGCCAAAUUGAUAAAUCAGAGCCUUCAACUUCUUCUGUUCUCUGCGCGCUCACUUACGGCGAGUGCCGACACUUCACCAUCCACGCAUGGCGCCUUUACAUUUGUCAGUCGGCCACGCGGGGUGAAGGUGUAACGAGGGUUAUUAACAUUUCGCAUUCGCACCUCCACGACACAACAGACCACGCGUGCCAUUUGGGCAGCUGUCUCGUGCUGGCGCGCCGUUUAGCGCCACAGUUGUUCCACAUUUGCUCGUGCGGAUCCUUUGAUGCCGCCAGGCGACCGUGGGAACGCUGAGUGACGGCGACGGCGCACACGUCUCAUCUUUUGUGGAUCCUGAGCUGGAGCUCGAGGUCCCUCGGGGGUCGUUAGCUGAUUAAGAUUAAUUAACAGCCUUGAUUGCGUUAUAGCUCGGGCGCAUCACUGUAACACCAGCACUUUAUCUCAGCCUGACCUUUUGGCUAAUUAAGAGGAAGGAGCGGCCUAUUCAUGCGUAAAACGAGGCCUUAUUUCGUAUCAAGGGAAUCUUUAACAUCUGCUGAUCGAUCCUUGCACCGACACACUGGACAACAACAUGCUGUCCACAGUUUUCACUGGAAGCGUCUCUUCAUCGGAGACCUGUGAAUCAUCCAGAGUCACCGGGUCACUGUAGCUGGAAAGACACAUUUGUAUAUUUCUAAACUUAGUUUUUGUGAGAGCCAGAAAUUAAAGGAAUAAUUCACCCAAAACUGAAAA